rnacentral:rRNA from 1 species
UACGUAGGGUGCAAGCGUUAAUCGGAAUUACUGGGCGUAAAGCGUGCGCAGGCGGUUGUGCAAGACAGAUGUGAAAUCCCCGGGCUCAACCUGGGAAUGGCAUUUGUGACUGCACGGCUAGAGUGUGUCAGAGGGGGGUAGAAUUCCACGUGUAGCAGUGAAAUGCGUAGAGAUGUGGAGGAAUACCGAUGGCGAAGGCAGCCCCCUGGGAUAACACUGACGCUCAUGCACGAAAGCGUGGGGAGCAAACAGG